rnacentral:rRNA from 1 species
GUUUCAUUUAAAUUUAAAUUAGAAUUUUAUUUUUUAGUUAAAAAGCUAAAAUUAUAUUAAAAGACGAGAAGACCCUAUAAAUCUUUAUAUUUAUUUUUAUUUUAAUUUAUAAAGAUAAAUUUUAUUAUAAUAAAAGUAUAUAUUUUAUUGGGGUGAUAUUAAAAUUUAAAAAACUUUUAAUUAUUAAAAUACAUUGAUUUAUGAUUUAUUGAUCCAUUAAUAAUGAUUAAAAAAUUAAGUUACUUUAGGGAUAACAGCGUAAUUUUUUUGGAGAGUUCUUAUUGAUAAAAAAGUUUGCGACCUCGAUGUUGGAUUAAGAGAUAGUUUUAAUGCAGAAGUUAAAAUAUAAAGUCUGUUCGACUUUUAAAUUCUUACAUGAUCUGAGUUCAAACCGGUGUGAGCCAGGUUGGUUUCUAUCUUUAAUUAUAUUAUAUAAUAUUUUAGUACGAAAGGAAUUUAUAUUAAAAAUUAUUUUUAUAUUAUGAAU